rnacentral:rRNA from 1 species
GACGGAGGAUGCAAGUGUUAUCCGGAAUCACUGGGCGUAAAGCGUCUGUAGGUGGUUCAAUAAGUCAACUGUUAAAUCUUGAAGCUCAACUUCAAAAUCGCAGUCGAAACUAUUGGACUCGAGUAUAGUAGGGGUAAAGGGAAUUUCCAGUGGAGCGGUGAAAUGCGUAGAGAUCGGAAAGAACACCAACGGCGAAAGCACUCUGCUGGGCCGACACUGACACUGAGAGACGAAAGCUAGGGUAGCAAAUGGG